ACACUCAGGGGGAGGUGGAAGAGAGAAAGCAGUGAACAGAUUCAUCUUCCCUUCUAUAUCUGAAAGGAUAAGCAGGCUGUGCUUUCCAGAAAUGCGUGACCUAUCCAAUCCUUCCUCUCAUGGAAACACCAACUCAUCCAUGCCCUCUGUGCUGAAACUUCGUCUCAGCCUGCUGGAAUCACCUGCACCCCAUGGGAACUGUAGCCAUAUCUUCAGUCCUGUGAGCCCCCGUCAUGGCCUGUCACAGGAGUAAAUGAGGAGUAAGGCCCAGAAUACUCAGUACCUCUCAAUGACCCUCAGACGCUGUAGGAAGAGGAUUGGUUCACCUUUUAACCCAGAAUUUCUCACAUUGAAUGGACAGGAUGCAUUCCAAGAGGCCAGAGUAUGUGCAUCUCAGCUCCUGAUGGUUUCCACCACCACCAUUACUUUCUCUAUGUCAAGAUACCUGGGAAGCCGGAGUUGUUUUAAGGCAGAGUAUCAUAUCGCAUCAAAACCGCUCCAUAAGUCCUGCCACUCCACGUGCAAUGCCAUGAACUUGAAGAAACUGCUGGUAAGAGAAAGCAAAUGCUG
rnacentral:lncRNA from 10 species